rnacentral:lncRNA from 1 species
AUGGUGUCCCCUACCUUAGCCCCGUCAAAUGUUUGUUUCCUACACUUUUCAAACAGGUCAGGGCACCCUGUGUACCUGAGGCCACGUGCCCCAGGCAGGCCUACCCCUGCACCAGAGCCGUCAGCUGGGCCGUGGGUCCGUCCUUGGGCCGGGCAGCAACACCAGGCCCGCGGAGCCCGUUCACCUGGAGCCUCUGAAGCAGAACCACCCGGAAGACGCACGGAAACAGCUCUCAGCCCCACGAGUCACCCCGAGGAACCACAGGGCCCUGCAAGCCACAGCCCCUCUCUCCAGCCCGGCCAAGGUACCGCUUGCUAUCUAAGAAACCAAUGUGCCGGGCCGGUGUGUCCAGAACGACCAGGCAAGCUCGUGGAGAGGAGUCGUGCCCUUGCAGCAAGGGGAAAGUUCUCACUGCCCAGGACAGCUCGCUGACCUCACAGCUCAUUUGUAAGUACACGCUGGAAACAGCAGGUGGUUAUGGGAAGCCUGCUGGAAAGCAGUAGCCGUUUAUGGUCCAACCAGCAGCAAUCCCUAGAUUACACCACAUCUGCUGACCCAAUGCCCAAGGCAGAAUGUGUAGCACAGAAAGGUACCAACAGACCUGAAUGCAUUUUAUUUCAUCAGGCCCAUGGUACUAGCAGAGCAGCUGCAGGUGUUGCAGGGAUGCAGUGUGUAGACUUUACAUCCUCCUCCGCCCCUGGCUUCUCAUGUACAGGGGAGAUUAUUACAAUGCAAGAAUCAGAACUGAUCCCGGCUCAGUGAACUGGCCGAUGCAGUGCACUGCAGGGCUGGAGAAGAGAUGGACAGAGGUCGGCUGUCCAGGGCUCUAGAAUCAGACCUACAGUGAACCACCAUGCUGGGCAUCUGUCUCUCAGAGGGAGGGAGAAGUUGCAAUUUAGAAAAGCCCAUUCUACUCCUUCACAAGUUAAUAAAAGCCACAAACCCGCACAGAUAGCUCUAAAACAGAAGUAAUCAAUCCCUCAAAUCAAUCAGAGUUAAAAUACCAGCUGCAUACAAGCUAACUGAUACAACAAGCAGCGUGGCAGAAGGCAGCACAGCUCAAAGCAGCCACACGCAUUCGACGGUGACUGGUCCUUCCUGGCGCAGGCACAUGGCACAAAGAGCAGGGCAGCAAGAAAGAAACCCAGGUCCAGGCCCAGGCUAACAAAGCCUGCCGUGCGUCUUGUCCACCUGCCACUUUAAAAGGAUGGGAACAGCUCCCCUGCUGGUGUCCUUUGUUGUUGUUGGCCUAGGCAGCCCUGUGCUUGCAAAAAGCCCCUUGUUAUUUUUCACCUCUCCUCUGUGAGGAGUGGUCUGCCCUACCCGGACGACGGCCCCUUCUGUCACUCACUGAAGUGGCCCUGGCUUCCCCUGACAGAGAACAAGCCUCCCACAACACAUCCCAAGCAAGGCCUACUGUUGUCACCUACAGGAGGGAACAGGGUACCUAUACAACGAAGGGUGCCGUGAUGAGACGUCUUCCCCCAAGCAAGCCCUUAACUGGGUGCACGCAUAGGAAAAAGGAGGUAGCUGGCUGCCCCCACUAGAGACGAACAUAUAUUUAAACAGUACUAAGAGAAAAGGACUCAAGGCAGGUUUUGCCACUAUACCUUGCUCUUUCAAACCCCACUUCAUUUUGGUAGCUGAAAGCAAGCCGCAUGAAGCUCUUGCUGGCUGGGCAGUUUGAGGUCCAGUGACCUAGCAAUCUAUGUGGCUCUCAGGAGGAUGUUUCUGGUUGUUGGGUGAUCUCAGCCUCCUUUCAGCAGCCAUCUGAUUUGUAUGGCCUUCCUUUUACUGUGUGUGUGUGUGUGUGUGUGUGUGUGUGUGUGUCCUUUAAAAGAUUAUCUUUUCAAAUGAAGCAGUUGCCUACAAAACAGCUGCAAAGCAAAAGGACUGUCCCUCCCACCCAGGAGCAGCAGAAGGUACAGCCUGGGGUCACUCAGCUGCCAGUCUCCGGCACAAGACUCCCCAGGGAAGCGCAGCCUCUUCACUGUCCCUGGAAGCACCUCUGCAGGCCAGAGCCAGCUCAUCCAAGUGGCAACGCAGCUGGGGAGCGGAGACUGGGAAAGCCACACUUCCUCUCGGAAGGAGAAAGACCCUCUGCCUGGAGGCAGACCCUCUCCCACUCCUUCCCUGCUGGCCUUUCCUUCCACACACGCGCACGCGGGGCAGCUCCGUCACCGUCACCGAGAGCAGGCACUGAACCCUUCAGAGCCUCAGCUGUGCGCUGUGAAGCUGGGGCUAUUAUGGGCAUUAAAGAACAAUGCCUGUGAGGCUCCAGCUCAGGGAGGCUGCGGGUUCCUGGGUCAGUCCUCCUGGUGGGGUUGACCUUGGCGCUGUGCGCUGGCUUCCUGGCUCUGGCCUUCCUCCUCGCCCCGCGUGGCUUGCCCUGUCCACUGCCUCCAGCUCCCGGUCUGCACUCCCAUGCCCUUCUCCUUCAAGAAGCCUCUGCCAACAAAGGAGAGUGAACAUGGAAAUCUUGCUCUUAACACGUGAGUCGCAGGUUUCCUGUCUCCCUCUCCACAACCUGUUUUUACGGACUGUAAAUGCAUGCUAAGUGACAAGCUCCGUGUACGUUUCUGUGGAAGAUAUGCAAAUUUUUGAGAAACUUGAUUUAAAUAUAUUAAGACUACUACACAAGCCAGCCUGGGAAAAAAAUCCAGUGGUUGGGGACAUUGUGAAAGGGACACAACUUUCCAAGGACGGCAGAGAGCAGCUUCUCUGCCCCUGUGGGGUGCCUCCAGAGGUUCUGCGGAGAAUCCAUCAGCCCUUCUUCUCGAGCAAAGGCACAGCAUGUGUGUUUCCAAGUUUGGUCACGUCCUGGUGUGUCAAGCAGCUUGCGUGUUUCCCCGAGAUGCUGGGCUGGGAGCUACAGAGAGGAUGGGUGAGGGAACACGUGAGGGAACGGGGGCUGCAGACGCUCCGCAAAUAGUCUGUGUUUUCACCCAAGCCACGCCAGCGUCACAGGCACCAUUUUACGUGCUUCUCUUUACAUGCUUUUUGUUCUCAACACAAUCACUCAAAAAGGUCAUUCUAAGGAGCUCAAGACUGUACGCAGGCCUUUCUCUAGUUUCACAAUCUGAGCUUGAAAGUCCCAACUCCCACAAUUUCUACUGUCCAUUUACUGGGGUGGAAGGGACGAGCAGAGAAAAGCUGGUUACUUGAUUCCUGGUGUUUAAAGUUGGUCUAUUUAAGGGGCUGGGGAUUUAGUUUUGUAGUUCUGAUGCCCGCCUUGCAAGAGCAAGGUCCUGAGUUCAGUCCCUGGUACCAAGAAAAAAAAAAGUUAGCUACUGAAACACACCACCCCUGGAGGAGAAGAGGCUUAUACAGUAGCAGAAAAAUGUUCUAGCUGCAGAUGUGAGCUCAAAUUUGAAGUCAGAUUGCGGACUCUGGUUAAACUUCCCACUAAAUCAACAGCCUAGUGUUUCACAUGGAAGGAGCUAACCUCAUACCCUAGUCCCACUUCGCCUGCUGGUGAGGGUGUAGAGGCUCAGAUAACCGAAUGCACCGAGUAACUACAAUCUAGGUUUGAACACCUGACGAAUGGAGGCUGAAGAUGGCAAAGUCCAAGGACCACGUGAGCAACAGACCAGGUGGCUGCCCCUGUGGUUCUGGGGUACCCACUUAGCGCAUCUUCCUCCUCCUCUGGGAGCAACUCACGGACUGUCCUCGAAAAGUUAGAACUAUUUAGAGCCUGGCCCUCUUUUGGCCUACCCAACAAUGUCCUCCAAGACUUAAAAUUCUUACUAUAUAUGUACACAAUCUUGCAACUGAACUCUGUGCCCCGGACCUCUGUACUGAGUAACGUUAGUGCGUGGCAUCUGGACUAUCCCAGGCUUCUGAGAAAUCCAGAACAGAGACACUUGCUACUUUCCCUGCCAACUGCUUUUCCUUCAGUGCCUCCCACUCCAGGAGAACUGGACCACCCUACAGCCAGCGGCACACGCCACACACCUGGGGUCCUCCCUGUUACGUCUCUGCCUGUCUUUGCCUUCAAUCAGUCCUGAGACUUUUAUUUCCAAAAAUCAAAUCCACUCUCUCCUUCCCAUUUCUGCCACCACCAAAUCAAAGGGUCACCAGUGUCUUUUUGCCAAGGCAGCUGCAAUACUCCUCCCAGGUGGCCACCCCACACCAGACCUGACUUCCUCCAGCAGUGAUGGAGGCUGGACAGACGCCACCCAUGGUGACCGCCGCCCUGUGUUCAAUCCUUAACGGUUCCCCACUGAUUGUAAUAAAAGCAGCACUGCUGCAGCAGAGCCAUAUCCCUGGCUGCUUCUGUUGCCCCCCUGUGCCCUCGCCCUCCCUGUACUGUGCUCCGGACACCCGGCCUCCUAAUGAACUCCCUCACGCAGCAGGCCUCAACUUCCCUGUUGCUUCUCCAGAGAGCUCCUUAGACCCUCAGACCAGGGAAGGGCUCCAUCACAUGCUUGCGUGCCGGUUCGCCUGGGUGAUUUUCUCAUUCAAUUUGUCUGCCUGAUACUUACUGCAUCAACACAAAUUAAAUAUUUGUGUACUUUAUCACACAUCCCUUAUACCUAGAUACAAGCUUAAUUCACUCAAAAUAUUUUGGUCAAGUGAACGCACAAGAAGUUGCAAAGACAAUGUGUUCCCUGCACCCCAGGGGAUAAGCUAAGGCCAGUAAGAGCCCAAUGGCCACCCCACCGCCCUCACCCAAGCUCUCGAUGGCACCGCCCACUCCCCGCCUCUGCAGCAUCACUGCUACUUCUCCCCACCUCACCUGCUGCCCCUUCUUGGACUCUGUGGCUUCUCUAAGAGCUGCCUCAGGCUGGGAUCCUCUUCCAUUUCACCUUCAUGUUCACUCCUUGAAGCAAAUGCAUCCCGAUCCAAGGCUUCAUGUAGAAUCUCAAUGGUGAUGCCUCCUGAAUUUGUAUUUCCACCCACAAAUUCUUCCCCUCAAAUCAGCUGCCUACUUGACAAACACCUCACUCGCAACUGAAUGGUAGGAAUUUCAAGCACAACACAUUCAAAACUGUGUCUUCAUCCUCUCAACCCCUAUGCCUCUCUCAGUGAGCUCAGCAAACAUGGGCUCCUACUCAUAGGGCACCAGAAAAGUAUAAUUAGGCAAGUACAUUUGCUAGUGCAAAAACUAGGAUAUAUG